rnacentral:rRNA from 1 species
AACGAACGCUGGCGGCAUGCCUAACACAUGCAAGUCGAACGAGACCUUCGGGUCUAGUGGCGCACGGGUGCGUAACGCGUGGGAACCUGCCCUUAGGUUCGGAAUAACUCCCCGAAAGGGGUGCUAAUACCGGAUAAUGUCUUCGGACCAAAGAUUUAUCGCCUUUGGAUGGGCCCGCGUUGGAUUAGCUAGUUGGUAGGGUAAAAGCCUACCAAGGCGACGAUCCAUAGCUGGUCUGAGAGGAUGAUCAGCCACACUGGGACUGAGACACGGCCCAGACUCCUACGGGAGGCAGCGGUGGGGAAUAUUGGACAAUGGGCGAAAGCCGGAUCCAGCAAUGCCGCGUGAGUGAUGAAGGCCUUAGGGUUGUAAAGCUCUUUUACCCGGGAUGAUAAUGACAGUACCGGGAGAAUAAGCUCCGGCUAACUCCGU